GACAGAGGGGGCAAGCGUUGUCCGGAUUUACUGGGCGUACAGCGCGCGCAGGCGGUGGCAUAUGUGCCCGGUGACAGCCUCCCGCUCAACGGGAGGUGGCCCGGGUAGACAGUGUCGCUGGAGGCACGGAGAGGGAGGUGGAAUACCCGGUGGAGCGGUGAAAUGCGUAGAGAUCGGGUGGAACACCAGUGGCGAAGGCGGCCUCCUGGCCGUGACCUGACGCUGAGGCGCGAUAGCGUGGGGAGCAAACGGGAUUAGAAACCCCCGUAGUCC
rnacentral:rRNA from 1 species